CAGCCGUAAACUAUGCGCGUUAGGUGUACUGGUGACCACGAGUCACCGGGGUGCCGAAGGGAAACCGUGAAACGUGCCGCCUGGGAAGUACGGUCGCAAGGCUGAAACUUAAAGGAAUUGGCGGGGGAGCACCACAACGGGUGGAGCUUGCGGUUUAAUUGGACUCAACGCCGGAAAUCUCACCGGAUAGGACAGACAUAUGAUAGUCGGGCUGAAGACUCUACUUGAUGAUCUGAGAGGAGGUGCAUGGCGUCAGUGACU
rnacentral:rRNA from 1 species